GACAACAUGGCCGAGUGGUCUAAGGCGUUUGACUUGAAUUUUAUCAAAUCUCUUCGGAGACGCAGGUUCGAAUCCUGCUGUUGUCG